rnacentral:rRNA from 1 species
AACGAACGCUGGCGGCAUGCCUAACACAUGCAAGUCGAACGAGACCUUCGGGUCUUGUGGCGCCCGGGUGUGUCACGCGUCGGAACCUGCCCAUAGGUUUGGCAUAACUCUCCGAAUGGGGUGCCAAUACCGGAUCAUGUCUUCGGCCCAAAGGUUUAUCGCCCUAGGAUGGGCCCGCGUUGGAUCAGCUCGUUGGUAGGGUAAAAGCCUACCAAGGCGACGAUCCAUAGCUGGUCUGAGAGGAUGAUCAGCGACACUGGGACUGAGACACGGCCCAGACUCCUACGGGAGGCGGCAGAGGGGAAUAUAGGACAACGGGCGGAGGGAUGAUGCAGCAAGGACGGGUGAGUGAUGAAAGCCUUAGAGUUGUAAAGCUCUUUUACCCGGGAUGAUAAUGACGGUACCGAGAGAAUAAGCCCCGGCUAACUCCGUG